rnacentral:misc_RNA from 1 species
GAUGAAGAACGCAGCGAAAUGCGAUAAGUAAUGUGAAUUGCAGAAUUCAGUGAAUCAUCGAAUCUUUGAACGCACCUUGCGCUCCUUGGUAUUCCGAGGAGCAUGCCUGUUUGUGUGUCAUUAAUAUAUCAACCUUCUCUUUUUUGAGUUGUUUGGAUGUGGGGGUUUGCUGGCCUCUUAAAUGAUUCAGCUCCCCUGAAAUGCAUUAGCAGAACAACCUGUUCAUUAGCGUGAUAAUUAUCUAUGCUAUUGAAUGUGAGGGCAGUUCAGCUUUCUAACCGUCCUUGGACAAUUCAUCAUUAAUGUGACCUCAAAUCAGGUAGGACUACCCGCUGAACUUAAGCAUAUCAAUAAGCGGAGGA